CGGUGCCAAGAGGCUUCAGGACUCGCCUACCCGCGCUAUGGACGAUUUACGUAAAGUUUUCCAGGUUCGGUGCGGGAAAGAAUCGGUCUGGUCUUCUGAGUUGGGGCUUGCACAAGCUUCUAUGGUCUUUCCUGAAAUGUAAGCCAACCUGUAGGCUUUUUAGAGCUGAGUACAUCUUUCCUCAGAGUUCUUCCACAGAGGUAGAAAGGCAGGCACCAAAGACCAGCUACUCCGAUGGGGAGAGGCGGGACACAUGGCCUUAAAAGCACCCUAGAGAAAGAGUCUCAGUGGCACCAAAGGCAGUUGCUUCCCAAGCUUAGGCUGGGAUCUUGAGGGCUGACCUCUGGUAGAAGGCUAUCUCACUGUGUGAUGGUCACAGGGACAGCAGGCGUGGUGUAUAAGGUCUAAUCAGUUUGAGUAGGCAGUACCACUAAAGCUAGCAAUUCGUUUUGGUGAACAGCUAGGUCUUUAAAGUGUUAGGGAUGGGUGUGGGGAAACGAGGUGGGCGGGGACUAGACUGGACUCUGAGUCACUUGCCAGUGAUAAAUGGAUACAAAGCUCUGUCUAUACCUGCAAGAUAAUCACUAGGGAUAUCAGUGACUCAGAAUAGGAGAAAAACUCAAUUCUGGUCCUUUCUCUAUCCUAAGAAGGCAUUUGUGGUGGUUUGACUGGGAAAGUCCCUCCCUCACCCCACCCCACCCCCGGCUCAUUCAUUUAAAAUCCUGGUUUCCAGUUGGAGGUACUGUUUGGAGGAAAUGUAGUUUCGAGAGACAACCAAGUCACUGGGGCAGGCUUUGAGAGUUCAAAGACUCCCACCAUUCCUACUUUGCUCUCCGCUUCCUGCUUGUGGUUUGAGAUCUGAGCUAUCACCUUUCUACCUGCCUUCCACCAUGAUGGUGAUGCCCUCUUACCCCUCUGGAACUGUAGGCUCAAAUACACACCUCUUUAUUU
rnacentral:lncRNA from 1 species